rnacentral:rRNA from 1 species
UAGGGAAUCUUCGGCAAUGGACGAAAGUCUGACCGAGCAACGCCGCGUGAGUGAAGAAGGUUUUCGGAUCGUAAAACUCUGUUGUUAGAGAAGAACAAGGACGUUAGUAACUGAACGUCCCCUGACGGUAUCUAACCAGAAAGCCACGGCUAACUACGUGCCAGCAGCCGCGGUAAUACGUAGGUGGCAAGCGUUGUCCGGAUUUAUUGGGCGUAAAGCGAGCGCAGGCGGUUUCUUAAGUCUGAUGUGAAAGCCCCCGGCUCAACCGGGGAGGGUCAUUGGAAACUGGGAGACUUGAGUGCAGAAGAGGAGAGUGGAAUUCCAUGUGUAGCGGUGAAAUGCGUAGAGAUGUGGAGGAAUACCGGUGGCGAAGGCGGCCCCCUGGACAAAGACUGACGCUAAGGUGCGAAAGCGUGGGGAGCAAACAGG